rnacentral:misc_RNA from 1 species
CCUCACCUGACUACCAUCUUUUCUUUUAUUAUAUCUGAAUGAAUCUCUCUAUCACUUUCUGCCAUUAUUUUUGCUUGUAAUCUUUAGGGUUUUCAGCUUCAAUCUUUUGGAUCCAGCAAUUUGCUUGUUUCAAUUUCUCUUUGUUUCAGUAUUGAAUUCUUCGAGUGUUGUUUCAUUUCUUAGUAAUUUCAUUUUUUUUCUUCUUUGAGUUGAAUCUCAGUGAAUUCUUGCAGGAGACAUAUUU